AUAAGGAGGAGUCUGGCUGCCUCUCCGCGGACCUCGCUGGGGACGUCUCCGGGUCCUAGUGCCAUCGGAAGCGCGCGGAGAGCAGCGCAGGUCGGCGUGCUGCAGGCGUGUCCGUGCACAGAGCCGCCGCGGAGGGAUUGAACUCACGACUGCCUGCUUGCAAGGCAGGUGUUUAUGCUGCUGAGCUAAACCUCCAGCCCCUAGGAGGAUAAAUUCUGAAGAAAUAUUUAUCUAAUGCAGCCUUAAAAGAGACUGAGGAGAUUGUGGAUGUGUCUGUGGGAGCCUUUCCAGAGAUUGAACAUCAGCAGUUUUGGAAAUAGACCAAAUGAUCUUCUACGUACAUUCCAAGCUCUUCAAAUGUGAGACAAAAGGAAUAUUGUCAAAAGUUGAGAUAUAAAUAUUUAAUUGUGAUAAUUUCCAAGGAUUCCUGAACAGUGUAGAUAGGAAAGACAGAAAAAAGUACAAGUAAUUGCAAGUUGAUGCACAGAGAAAUGUUUUAGUUUAUUGGAAGAUGUUUUACAUUUUCCAUGCCAAAAAAUAUGCAGUAAUCUCUAAUGACAUUCCAUAGUUUGCUGUUAUUGUUAUUGUUUUUGGUCUCUUGUGUUUCAUAUUAUUUUUGCAAGUAAUUAUAUAACUAAUCAAGAAUAGUUUAAAAACCUAGCAACCCUCUACAAGCCAAAAUCAUUUGGAUCACAGAAUUAGUCAACGCAUUCUACUGUAUACCGAUAUGCAGGAACUAAGCGUACAUGGCAAAUGAGUCUAAAGCUUUUAGUGCAAACCAUCACUCUAGUCAAUAUGAAUCCAGUAUAUACUGUUCCUCAAACAUACUGCUAUAUAUAUUGGUGGCUUUAGUACUUUUAUUCCAUCUUUAACUUCCAUUUUGUAAAUGAAAUACAUGAAUUAAAAUUAAAACCAUAUGGCAAAUAAAAAGGUUUUUAGAACAAUGAAAUAUGAAUUAGAUUUGUAAAGCUAGCAUUUAAAACUAGUUUGACCUUUACCACUUCGCAGGUGAAGUGAACAUAGCUCAAGAAUUUUGGGAGAAAAAACAGUGUAGCAAAAUAAUUACAUGUAUGUAACACUGUGGUCAAUCAUAUAAAACACACCUAAAUAUCAAUUGGAAUCAACUUAAAUUAAUUCAAAAAAUACAUAAAUGUGUGAGUAUGCAAUUGUAUUUAUAUUUGUGCUGUGACUGUGAAUGUAUAUGUAUUUUUUGUGUGUGUAUAUUUAAUGUAACUCACUACUGUAUAAAAUGUUGGAUGUUUCAAGGGAAGAUAAGGUUUGUUUUGUCUUAUCUAUAUGCCAGUCACCUUGUUACAUAAAACUUGCAGAUAAAUUUUAAGUUUAAAUAAGGAACCCUAUCACUGAAGCUGGAAAAAUGUUUCUAAAUAUCAAAUGGAAGUUUUUGUUUGUAAAUUACAAUAGAAUUCUUCUCUUAAUGGCACUUUUGGAAAGUUACAAAGGUCUUCUGCCAAGUGUUUCCUAUGCAUGGUUGAGUCCAUGCCUCAGUAAGAACUGCAUAUAUGUAUAUUAUCUUUGACUCAUUUUAAGCAUAAAAACAUCUACUGCUGUGUAGCAAGCUCUUUCAACCACUAUACAUUUCUUCAGGCAAAGAAUAUGCUCCAACAUGCAAACUAUUGUUUGUAUUGUAUGCAAACUAUUUUCCAGUUUGCAUAAAUCAAUAAAUCAAGUGGGACAGGACAUUAUGGUAUUAUGGACUACACGUUGGUCUACUUAUAUCUGUAUAUCAUAUGUAUGCUAUUUAUCUUCAUGUCAAUGUCUACAUUAUGUCCAUACCAUAUGUGAUUCUACUUCUGUGCUUAUAUAUCUAUCCUUCCAUAUCUAUCUGGUUAUCUGUUUCUCUCUCCUGUCAUCUAUUUUUCUCUUUCUCUCUCUGUCUUUCUUCUUUUCCUCUGUUUCUCCUCUUCAGCUUAUGGAUCAAUCUCAAGACACUGAGACUAAAUUCACAAAUGUACUUUAUUGAUAACAGUACUGAUAUCUUCUACUUUUGUAGGUUAUUUUUUCUUUGAGUCAAAAAUCACUCAGAAAAGAUCCAAACAAGACUUUUAAAAACCUAAAUUAGACUCUGUUCUGUUGUGUACAAGAACACUGAAGUAGAAAUUUUGCUGAUUUGUGUUGCUGAUGGAGCUGUUAGUGAAUUCAUAAAUAAUUAUUGCACAAUGUAUUACAUAUUAGCCACAAUCUUACAAUAAAUAUUGUGACAGUGAAUACAAUUUUGCUGAAAAUUUUGACUUUAAAGUAAUCAGUAAUUUAAACUAAUGUUUACAUUAAGUGAUUUUUCAUCAGCCUUUUUUUCUUUUGAAUAAGAUGGCUUUGUUAUGUAAAUAAGGGGAGGCCAUAAUCUACAGAGUGGAGCUGGUGCUGGGGACUGGGAUGUCUUUACUAAACAGGAAUUAGUUUAUAUUCUAUCCCUAGCUCCAAGCAUGGAGGACACAAUGUGUACAUGCAGUAGCACAUAUGUUUUACUUGACAUUUUAAAGGGAGAAAUGAUGCUUUUACAGAAAUUCUGGAAAUAGCAUGAAAGAAAUAGUAUUAAAAAAACACAGAAAGUGUUGAUGGAGUAUUUGACUGAUAUUCUUUCCAAGUAUUGGAGGAAGUUACUAUAUUCCAGAUAAAGAAAUGAGGAUUAAAGUGUGGUUGAGUAUGACAGAAUAGUAAAUUUAGAUAAAUUUCCUUCAUUGUUUGAAAUGGAUAUGUGCCACCAAAGUUGUUAAUGGAUUAAUAUGCAACUUUCCUCAGUUUGAUCUAAAAGCAAAGUAUCCAAAUGAAUACCAGGAAUUAGGUUUGAAGAAAACCUGAUUCAUGACAUUUAAUCUUCUUUUCCUUUUCAAUCUGUUGUUUUGAAGGCAGACAUCUUUUCCCAUAAGGAUUAAUAUAAUUUACCAAUUGAUUAAUAAAGUCAUGUAGCAUUUA